UAUUUUAGCUUUAGAUGUUACCAAGCCUCAGUGAUGUUGAAUUGAAAGAACAGAAUUUUUAAGUCCCGUAUUAAUGAUGUUAAUUCGGACAUAUUGAUGCGAUGUAGUGAUUCAUUCAUGAUCAAUUCAUGGACAGAAACAUAUGGAAGUAAUUUUUAGUUUGCUGUUGAAAAUGUUGACAAAUGCAUUUUUAGG